UCCUCACUUUGCUUUUGAUCAUCCUAAACAUUCAUUUCUUAUUUAACAGAGUCUAUGGUUCAACGGAACUGGUACCAUAGAUCCUCAAUGUCCGAAUCUUUAUGACUUGGAAAAAUAUAUCUACAAUAAUCUAAUGAACUGUACACGCGCAACACUUUAGAAUGAUCAGGCCGUUACAAGGAAUGAUAAUGAAACAACCACUUAAGUAUUGGCAAUGGAGACACUGGCCAUGAUAGCUUCAAUGGCCUUUCCCUUUGACUUUUGAUCAUGAAUGAUCUCUGAGUCAUCAUUCUCCAUUUCGACGGAAACCCCAGCAGAAAGCCAUUAGCCAGAAAGUGGAAGCCAAGAAAAGCUCAGUAUGUGGCUAUUGACAAAUAAAGCAGGUAUACUUCUGAGCAUAAAUUAGCUUAGAAGUGGAACCCCUCAGUUAAAACGAAUUCUCUUUAUGGCAGCAACUCCCAACUGAUAGUUCCCUUGGUUUGAAGAUGAAAGCAGUUUAAAAGCUGAAAUUUUGCACACCAAUUGUAAUUGAAAAACAGGACUCUUAAAUGACUCUGCUAUAAUAAUGAUAAUAAAUAUUAACUUACAUUUACAGGUGAAAAUAGAGGCCUAUUUUGAUUUUUAGUUCUGUUAGGUCUAGUGGUCAGCCACCUCCCAGCACAUCACUUGCCACAUUUCCAAGGUUUCCAACUGCACAAAACUAUGCAGUGAAUGCAGAUCCUGUUUAAGCAAAUCUUAAGGAAUCCUAAACAUCCCUUUGUAUAACAGAUAUGAUGUAAAUGACAAAUCAGUAAAUAGACUGUUAUUCCGUUUUCCCCUUUCUCUUUCCUCUUUUUAUCUUUCCGUCACUCAGAAACAAGAUGAUCAACGGCCAAAUAAUAGCCCCCAACAAUCAUACAAGAUGCUAAACCACAAGAAGUCAUUCGCAACCAGCUCCCACGAAACAAGAGAUUCCUGUCUGCCGGAUGGAUCCCUGUAACUCUCUCAAACCAAUUUCCAGGUCGUCUCCAUUUCAAUAGUCUCCUCUCCAUGGAAAUAUGCUUGGGCAACACAGUACACUGUGAUCGACUUUUAGCAGUGUCAAAACAAUGAGAUGCAGCAGCAGCAACAGAACCAGAAAAUCCAGCUGCAAGACUAACAGAUAUAGGAGAGAGUGGCCCAAUUUCUUCAUCAGACCUGGGUAAAGAAUCCAUCCCAACUGCCUUCCAGUCAAGCAUUGCUCGGUGCAGGAAUUGCCAGCUAGAAAAAAAGAUCCCACCAUAAAUAGAGUCCCGAACAACUCCUGACCGAAGUCCUCUCCACAAUGCACCCCAUCCUUCCAAAGAAAUGAUAUUUGAUGGCUUCUGAACAUUGCAGACUGAUGGUGCCUUCCCAGACCCAGUCAUCAUCCAUGGGUACUCUUGCAAGGCACCAACCAAAUUUGGGUGUUUAGCAGAUAGGGUUGACAAAAGAGCAACAGAAUUGUUCAAUGCCAUCUUUUCUGGAGUAUAUCCAUGCAGUAAUUUAUCAAUCAGAGGUGAAACAGCUUUACUUUCUGCAUUAAAGGAAGACCUUGGAAUCCGAGAUGCAGAUGUAACCUGUGCACGAAGUUUAAUCAUUUCAAAUGGAGAGCGUACAAGCGACUCCAUUGAACCGGCUGCCAUUCCUGCCAAGAGGGCCUCAGAAACAUACACAUAAUUGUCUUCUCUGCCAUCUUUAUAAAAAGCUGUCAAAACUUCAUAGAUUCCAAAGCGAGCUCCCAUACCAAGUAUUCUCCCUGAGGUCAACCACCCAAAGCCACCAUACAAGCCUGAAUUCCCAGAUAAUGAACGAACUCUAUUUAAAACCUGAUACAGAGUUAAUGGUUUAUUGGAACUUGAACCAACCUGGAUAAGGACUUUUGUAGUAUCAAGGGGAUAAGUAAGCGCUGUGCUUAAUGUUACUGACCCUGCAGCCGCAAUCACAUGGGUUGCAAACAAGUGGUUCUUCAACAAUUCAUCCAUUAGUUCUAGUAUUCAGUCCCUUACUGACGUUUUCUGACUUCUGGGCAGCUGAAGGGAGGCCACUGAGGGUCUCUUAUUUACUGGAUUGAAGCAGGAUGGAAUUGUUGGAUUGUUGCGCUCAGUAAGGCUCCACACAUUGAAUAUAUGAUGAGAAGAUGAACAUGUAACCAAG
rnacentral:misc_RNA from 1 species